AAAUGAUUUCCAGAUGGCUGAAGAAUAUGUGCAGCUCGCUGUUGAAGUACUCAAUUC
rnacentral:RNase_MRP_RNA from 1 species